UGCCAGACUCCUACGGGAGGCAGCAGUGGGGAAUAUUGCACAAUGGGGGAAACCCUGAUGCAGCGACGCCGCGUGAGCGAUGAAGUAUUUCGGUAUGUAAAGCUCUAUCAGCAGGGAAGAAAAUGACGGUACCUGACUAAGAAGCCCCGGCUAACUACGUGCCAGCAGCCGCGGUAAUACGUAGGGAGCGAGCGUUGUCCGGAAUUACUGGGUGUAAAGGGAGCGUAGGCGGGCGAGAAAGUUGAAUGUUAAAUCUACCGGCUUAACUGGUAGCUGCGUUCAAAACUUCUUGUCUUGAGUGAAGUAGAGGCAGGCGGAAUUCCUAGUGUAGCGGUGAAAUGCGUAGAUAUUAGGAGGAACACCAGUGGCGAAGGCGGCUUACUGGACUGUAACUGACGUUGAGGCUCGAAAGCGUGGGGAGCAAACAGGAUUAGAUACCCUCGUA
rnacentral:rRNA from 1 species